rnacentral:rRNA from 1 species
CCUACGGGUGGCAGCAGUGAGGAAUAUUGGUCAAUGGGCGAGAGCCUGACCCAGCCAAGUCGCGUGAAGGAUGAAGGAUCUCUGGUUUGUAAACUUCUUUUAUAUGGGAAUACAGUUAGGAACGUGUUCCUUUUUGUAUGUACCAUAUGAAUAAGCAUCGGCUAACGCCGUGCCAGCAGCCGCGGUAAGACGGAGGAUGCGAGCGUUAUCCGGAUUUAUUGGGUUUAAAGGGUGCGUAGGUGGUUACUUAAGGAAGCGGUGAAAGUUUGGGGCUCAACCAUAACAUUGCCGUUGAAACUGGUUGACUUGAGUAUAUGUGAGGUAGGCGGAAUGCGUGGUGUAGCGGUGAAAUGCAUAGAUAUAACGCAGAACUCCGAUGGCGAAGGCAGCUUACUAAACUAUAACUGACACUGAAGCACGAAAGCGUGGGGAUCAAACAGGAUUAGAUACCCCAGUAGUC